ACAAGCGGAGGAACAUGUGGUUUAAUUCGAUGAUACGCGAGGAACUUACCUGGGUUUAAAUGGGAAGUGACAGCUUUAGAAAUAGAGCCUUCUUCGGACACUUUUCAAGGUGCUGCAUGGUUGUCGUCAGCUCGUGCCGUGAGGUGUCGGGUUAAGUCCCAUAACGAGCGCAACCCCUAUUGAUAGUUACCAGCACGUAAUGGUGGGGACUCUAUCGAGACUGCCGGUGUAAACCGUGAGGAAGGUGGGGAUGACGUCAAAUCAGCACGGCCCUUACAUCCAGGGCUACACACGUGUUACAAUGGCCGGUACAAAGGGCAGCUACUCCGCGAGGAGAUGCGAAUCUUAAAAACCGGUCUCAGUUCGGAUCGAAGUCUGCAACCCGACUUCGUGAAGCUGGAUUCGCUAGUAAUCGUAUAUCAGCCAUGAUACGGUGAAUACGUUCCCGGGCCUU
rnacentral:rRNA from 1 species